ACAGAAGAUGGAGCCGGCGGAAAGCGCUGGAUAAGAAUAAAUAAAACGAUUAAGGUCAUAAAUGUAACCUUUAAAACACCAAAGUUUUACAGAGGGACUCACCGUUUGGAAGAGCAGACAGCAGAAACAUCCACGUCAGGAACAUGACUCGUACCUGCGUUCAGACGGAGAAAGAUUUUUUUCAUAUUCAACUUCCUGUCGGGUGCACAAGCUCAUCAUAUCAGACCAAAUCCGAUCGGGCUUACCUGUCUGAUCGGGCUUACCUGUUGCUCCUGCGUUUCUAAAAGCUACCAGGCUCCUCACCUGUGGAACCAGCUCCCAGUGUGGGUUUGGGAGACAGACCCUCUCUCUACUUUUAAGAAUAGACUUCGAACUUUCCUUAUUGAUAAAGAUUAUAGUUAAAAAUGCUGUUUCUGUUGUAUGGACACAAUUGUAAUCUUUAGUAAAGACAACAUGAAACAUUAAGAAGAAAAUCACGUGAAAAAUGGUUUCAGCGACCGAAGGUAAUCCCACCAAUCUGUUACAGCACUGUUGACAGCACAGUCAUAUCACCGCAGCAAAUAUGCCAGCUUUAGAUCACAUUCACAGUGCAAACCUGGUGUGUGUUUGAUGAUCAUAAUCAAUAAUCAAAAUCGAGGUAAAAUGUUCAAUUAAUCGUGAUUUUCAUUUGAGGUCAUAGUAUUGACCCUGAUUUAUCCCCUAGUUUUUCUGCAAUAGGCUCCACUCUCACUCGAAAUGUGUUUAUAGAUCACUACCUGCUCCCUUAAUCCAAUUAAAUUAAAUGAAGUCAACAUUUAAAAACCAAAAGCUGCAGUCCCUCUUAUGUCCACUAGAGGCUGGCUUCAAAAGUGUGUCCAGUGUUCAGAACAGAAAUAAACAGCCUGGUUCAAAAACAGUUUCGGUUUCUGUGGGUAGUUUAACCCUUCGUAACCUCUGUACCUGUACAGGGUGACAUUUUUGCCAACCUAUUUAUUUGGAUGCUGGUAAGGUUUAAGUUUAGGGGUGUGGCCACGUUGAUUGACAGGUAUCACUGAGUACUUGCAGCUGCUAGCUGUGUGCUGGGCCUCAUUUACACUACUCUGAAUCACUGGACUAGAUUUCACCACCAUAUUUCAGCUGUCAGUGUACUUGUAAUGUUGUACGCUACAUCCAGUCGAAGACGUUUCCUUUUGGUGAUAUUACUUUGGUAACCAGCAGAUACUGGUCUAGCUAGACACUGCUAGCUAAGCUAGCUAGCAUUAGCUGAUAAAGUAGCACUCCACUCUGAGGCAAAUAUGGUCACUUCUGCCUCUGAGAUACCAACAUUUUAGCAACACUGAAGAUACAACAUAAAUCUGAUAUUUCAUAGUGGGCAUCUUUUAUAUACGGGGUAUCAUACUGAGCAUGUGCGGAGUCAGUGUAAGCACUCUAGCUUGUUUCUGAUUGUGGAAAUUAAGAUUAAUACACUCAUCCCCGAUCUUGCUUCCUGAAACAGGCUCGAAUAAACGAUAAAUGUAAAUUUCAUAUUCUGAUUUGCAUGUUGCUGUAAUUCUCUGCAAAACCAGAAGAGGUCACAGUUUGAAGCUUACUGAGCCGCUGCUCUCAGCAGCAACGACGCUGUGAUUCCUGCAAACGCUCAAAGCUGAGGAUCAUCGACCAAAUCACAGCAACAAAGUCAUCAGGUCACGCGUUUUUACAAAUACGUAACAUACACCUGAAAAUACUCUGACAUCACCCAUUACAGCGCUGACUCCCACACAAAAACAAGGACGACGACGCUCUCCACUUUCUCCGCUCAGUACUUCAAUGUUUCUAACAGCUUCAAACGGUUCGGCCCACCUGUGGCUCCUGUCCGCUCGAUGAGGGCAGCAUGGAGGGAUGUGAAGAAGAGUUUAAGGCCUCAGGAAAAGAGAACUGUGUGCUUUGCUGAGGUGGGUCUGCCAUGAUGAAACUACAAAGUGCUGAAGAUGGACCACAAAAGGCUAAUCUGAC